UGGGGAAUUUUGGACAAUGGGCGCAAGCCUGAUCCAGCCAUGCCGCGUGCGGGAAGAAGGCCUUCGGGUUGUAAACCGCUUUUGUCAGGGAAGAAAUCUUCUGAGUUAAUACCUCGGGGAGGAUGACGGUACCUGAAGAAUAAGCACCGGCUAACUACGUGCCAGCAGCCGCGGUAAUACGUAGGGUGCAAGCGUUAAUCGGAAUUACUGGGCGUAAAGCGUGCGCAGGCGGUUUUGUAAGACAGAGGUGAAAUCCCCGGGCUCAACCUGGGAACUGCCUUUGUGACUGCAAGGCUUGAGUGCGGCAGAGGGGGAUGGAAUUCCGCGUGUAGCAGUGAAAUGCGUAGAUAUGCGGAGGAACACCGAUGGCGAAGGCAAUCCCCUGGGCCUGCACUGACGCUCAUGCACGAAAGCGUGGGGAGCAAACAGGAUUAGAUACCCUGGUAGUCCACGCCCUAAACGAUGUCAACUGGUUGUUGGGAAGGUUCCUUCUCAGUAACGUAGCUAACGCGUGAAGUUGACCGCCUGGGGAGUACGGCCGCAAGGUUGAAACUUAAAUGAAUUGACGGGGUCAUAGC
rnacentral:rRNA from 1 species